UUUUAACAAGAGGUGUCAGAAAAGUUACCACAGGGAUAACUGGCUUGUGGACGCCAAGCGUUCUUAGCGACGUGGCUUUUUUAUCCUUCGAUGUCGGCUCU
rnacentral:ncRNA from 1 species